CUUAUACUCCCUCCGUCCGGAAAUACUUGUCGGAGUAAUGGAUGUAUCUAUACACAUUUUAGUUCUAGAUACAUCCAUUUUUAUGCAUUUCUCCGACAAGUAUUUCCGGACGGAGGGAGUAUUUC
rfam:Triticum aestivum genome assembly, contig: Triticum_aestivum_CS42_TGACv1_scaffold_290272_4AL